UACGUAGGGGGCUAGCGUUGUCCGGAAUCAUUGGGCGUAAAGAGCGCGUAGGCGGCUGGAAUAGUCCGGUGUGAAAUCCACAGGCUUAACCUGUGAAUGCCGCUGGAAACUGUCUGGCUAGAGUCCGGAAGGGGCGAGUGGAAUUCCUGGUGUAGCGGUGAAAUGCGCAGAUAUCAGGAGGAACACCGAUGGCGAAGGCAGAUCUCUGGGCCGUAACUGACGCUGAGGAGCGAAAGCAUGGGGAGCGAACAGG
rnacentral:rRNA from 1 species